rnacentral:rRNA from 1 species
UACGGGGGGGGCAAGCGUUGUUCGGAAUUACUGGGCGUAAAGGGCUCGUAGGCGGCCAACUAAGUCAGACGUGAAAUCCCCAGGCUCAACCUGGGAACUGCGUCUGAUACUGGAUGGCUUGAAUUCGGGAGAGGGAUGCAGAAUUCCAGGUGUAGCGGUGAAAUGCGUAGAUAUCCGGAGGAAUACCGGUGGCGAAGGCGGCAUCCUGGACCGACAUUGACGCUGAUGAGCGAAAGCUAGGGGAGCAAACGGG